GACGAACGCUGGCGGCGUGCUUAACACAUGCAAGUCGAACGGAAAGGCCCUGCUUGCCGGGUACUCGAGUGGCGAACGGGUGAGUAACACGUGGGUGAUCUGCCCUGCACUUCGGGAUAAGCCUGGGAACCUGGGUCUAAUACCGGAUAGGAGCCAUUUUUAGUGUGAUGGUUGGAAAGUUUUUUCGGUGUAGGAUGAGCUCGCGGCCUAUCAGCUUGUUGGUGGGGUAAUGGCCUACCAAGGCGGCGACGGGUAGCCGGCCUGAGAGGGUGGACGGCCACAUUGGGACUGAGAGACGGCCCAGACGCCUACGGGAGGCAGCAGUGGGGAAUAUUGCACAAGGGGCGCAAGCCGGAUGCAGCGACGCCGCGGGGGGGAGGACGGCCUUCGGGUUGUAAACGCCUUUCGCUAGGGACGAAGCUUUUUGUGACGGUACCUAGAGAAGAAGCACCGGCUAACUACGUG
rnacentral:rRNA from 1 species